GAUGAAGAACGUAGCGAAAUGCGAUACUUGGUGUGAAUUGCAGAAUCCCGUGAACCAUCGAGUCUUUGAACGCAAGUUGCGCCUGAAGCCAUUAGGCUGAAGGCACGCCUGCCUGGGCGUCACACGUCGUUGCCCCCCCAUCUACUCCUUCGGGAUUGCGGGGGGCGGAUGAUGGCCUCCCGUGCGCCUCGCCGCGCGGUUGGCAUAAAUGCCAAGUCCUCGGCGACGCACGCCACGACAAUCGGUGGUUGCGAAACCUCGGUUGCCCGUCGUGUGCGGUCGUCGCGCAUCGAGGGCUCGAAAAAAUUGCCGGGUUCCGGCUCGGCUUUCAACGCGACCCCAGGUCAGGCGGGGUUACCCGCUGAAUUUAAGCAUAUCAAUAAGCGGAGGA
rnacentral:misc_RNA from 1 species